GGGGCCUACGGGACGCAGCAGUGAGGAAUAUUGGUCAAUGGGCGGAAGCCUGAACCAGCCAAGUCGCGUAAGGGAAUAAGGCCCUACGGGUCGUAAACCUCUUUUGCCGGGGAGCAAGGGCCGGGACGCGUCCCGGCCCGGAGAGUAGCCGGAGAAAAAGCAUCGGCUAACUCCGUGCCAGCAGCCGCGGUAAUACGGAGGAUGCGAGCGUUAUCCGGAUUUAUUGGGUUUAAAGGGAGCGUAGAUGGGUUGUUAAGUCAGGUGUGAAAGUUUGCGGCUCAACCGUAA
rnacentral:rRNA from 1 species